rnacentral:lncRNA from 1 species
GAAGUGGGUCUCAUUUCAUUUUGUUCCUUUAUUAAAUAAUUUCUACAGGUGAAGAUGUUAACCAGGCUCUCAGAAACGAUCAUGUUUCAGAGGACAAUGCAGAACAGGAUACAAAUGAAGAUGGAGAUGAGUCUGAAAACAAUGAAGAAACAAUGGAUGAAGAUGUUAACCAGGCCCUCAAAAACAAUCAUGUUGCAGAGAACUAUAAAAAACAGGACAUAAAUGAAGAUGGAGCUGAGUCUGAGAAAAAUGAAGAAGAAUAGAUGGAUGAUAAUGAAUCUGGCCAAGACCUUUACGGUUAUGAAGAGAAUAAUCAGGAAAUUAGUAAAGCCCAAGACCUCACUGGACCCUCACAAGACAGGAAUAUCAACAAGUUUAACAAGUUAAAGGGGUCAUAUGAUGCAAUUUCAAGUUUUCCUUUCUCUUUGGAAUGUUACAAGCUGUUCGUGCAUAGAUAAGAUCCCUAAAGUUGCAAAGACUAAAGUCUCAAACCCAAAGAGAUAUUCUUUAUAAAAGUUAAGACUCGUCCACGCCCUCCUAAAAUGCCUCGUUUAAACACGCCCCCACAUGUCUACGUCACUGUGUUGGAAGAUUUGCAUAACACCGCCUAAAUGUUCACGCAAAGAAAGAAUGAGUAACUUUGAUUCUCGCUGUAGUAUUGAUGCUGCCGCCGCCGCUGCCGCCAUGUCGUGGAGAUGCUGUGUUUCAUUGUAAAAGCGAAA